AGAGUUUGAUCCUGGCUCAGAAUCAACGCUGGCGGCGCGCCUAACACAUGCAAGUCGAACGAGAAAGUGGAGCAAUCCAUGAGUAAAGUGGCGUACGGGUGAGUAACACGUGGAUCAUCUGCCUUUUAGUGGGGAAUACCGCUGGGAAACCGGCGACAAUACCGCAUAAGCUCGAGAGAGGAAAGCCGAAAGGCGCUGGAAGAGGAGUCCGCGGUCGAUUAGCUAGUUGGUGAGGUAAUGGCUCACCGAGGCUGUGAUCGAUAGCCGGCCUGAGAGGGCACACGGCCACACUGGCACUGAAACACGGGCCAGACUCCUACGGGAGGCAGCAGUGGGGAAUCUUGCACAAUGGGGGCAACCCUGAUGCAGCGACGCCGCGUGAGCGAUGAAGCCCUUCGGGGUGUAAAGCUCUUUCGGCAGGGAAGAUUAUGACGGUACCUGCAGAAGCAGCUGCGGCUAACUACGUGCCAGCAGCCGCGGUAAUACGUAGGCAGCAAGCGUUGUUCGGAGUUACUGGGCGUAAAGGGUGCGUAGGCGGCUCGAUAAGUAUGGUGUGAAAUCUCCCGGCUUAACUGGGAGGGUGCGCUAUAGACUGCCGGGCUAGAGUGUGGGAGAGGAAAGUGGAAUUCCUGGUGUAGCGGUGAAAUGCGUAGAUAUCAGGAGGAACACCGGUGGUGUAAACGGCUUUCUGGACCAUAACUGACGCUGAGGCACGAAAGCGUGGGUAGCAAACAGGAUUAGAUACCCUGGUAGUCCACGCCCUAAACGAUGCAUAUUUGGUGUGGGUCAUUCAGUGAUCCGUGCC
rnacentral:rRNA from 1 species